rnacentral:rRNA from 1 species
CUGCGGAGGGAUCAUUACCGAGUUUACAACUCCCAAACCCCUGUGAACAUACCAAUUGUUGCCUCGGCGGAUCAGCCCGCUCCCGGUAAAACGGGACGGCCCGCCAGAGGACCCUUAAACUCUGUUUCUAUAUGUAACUUCUGAGUAAAACCAUAAAUAAAUCAAAACUUUCAACAACGGAUCUCUUGGUUCUGGCAUCGAUGAAGAACGCAGCAAAAUGCGAUAAGUAAUGUGAAUUGCAGAAUUCAGUGAAUCAUCGAAUCUUUGAACGCACAUUGCGCCCGCCAGUAUUCUGGCGGGCAUGCCUGUUCGAGCGUCAUUUCAACCCUCAAGCCCAGCUUGGUGUUGGGACUCGCGAGUUAAACCGCGUUCCCCAAAUUGAUUGGCGGUCACGUCGAGCUUCCAUAGCGUAGUAGUAAAACCCUCGUUACUGGUAAUCGUCGCGGCCACGCCGUUAAACCCCAACUUCUGAAUGUUGACCUCGGAUCAGGUAGGAAUACCCGCUGAACUUAAGCAUAUCAAUAA